rnacentral:rRNA from 1 species
AUUGAACGCUGGCGGCAGGCCUAACACAUGCAAGUCGAACGAGUGGCGGACGGGUGAGGAAUGUCUGGGAAACUGCACGAUGGAGGGGGAUAACUACUGGAAAAGGUAGCUAAUACCGCAUACCAUCGGAUGUGCACAGAUGGGAUUAGCUAGUAGGUGGGGUAACGGCUCACCUAGGCGACGAUCCCUAGCUGGUCUGAGAGGAGGACCCGCCACACGGGACCUGAGACACGGUCCAGCCUCCUACGGGAGGCAGCAGUGGGGAAUCUUGCACAAUGGGCGCAAGCCUGAUGCAGCCAUGCCGCGUGUAUGAAGAAGGCCUUCGGGUUUUAAAGUACUUUCAGCGAGGAGGCGUUACUCGCAGAAGAAGCACCGGCUAACUCCGUGCCAGCAGCCGCGGUAAUUC